UUUGGAGCUGGCUUUAGAAGAAAAUACAAAGGAGGUGAUGCCAACAUCCCUCCCUGCCUCUACUUUGAUAUCAUGAGUACUUUCAACAAGCAAAAAUAUCCAAAUUGAGCUGCACGAUCCACUCAUAGCUACUCAUCAGAAUGGGAACUGUAAAGCAUUUGUCAUUUUUUCUCAAAGUUUGCAGCAUAAAUAUCACAGCUGCAUCUGUGUUUUUGCUGGGAUAAGAACAUCAACACAACCCRAUACAAAAUUGUGAUGGUAAAUAUGAAGAUACUGUCAAAACCUGCAACACUUGGUGAAAUAAUCCCAGGAGCCUCACAAGAGUGGGUUUUUGGACACCUUGGAUUCCCAACUCCAUCGAUCAGCUUCAUCUCUCACGAUGCAAUAACGUCCUGGCAGUGACCAUGCAGCAUCACGGGCACCUGA